rnacentral:rRNA from 1 species
GACGAACGCUGGCGGCGUGCUUAACACAUGCAAGUCGAGCGGUAAGGCCCUUUCGGGGGUACACGAGCGGCGAACGGGUGAGUAACACGUGGGCGACCUACCCUCAGCUUCGGGAUAAGCCUGGGAAACUGGGUCUAAUACCGGAUAUGACCUUCCCUCGCAUGGGGGUUGGGUGGAAAGUUUUUUCGGUCGUGGGGAGUGGGCCCGCCGGCCUAUCAGCUUGUUGGUGGGGUGAUGGCCUACCAAGGCGACGACGGGUAGCCGGCCUGAGAGGGCGACCGGCCACACUGGGACU